UAUCUCUGUAGAGUCUGCAUAUCAAUAAGCGGAGGAAAAGAAACUAACUAGGAUUCCCUCAGUAACGGCGAGUGAAGCGGGAAGAGCUCAAAUUUGAAAUCUUCAAGGUUUUACCUUGACGAAUUGUAGUUUAAAGAAGUGUUUUCUGUUGGUGUUUUGGUAAAAGUUCUUUGGAAUAGGACAUCAUAGAGGGUGAGAAUCCCGUAUUUGACCAUUUACUUUCCAGCUUUGUGAUACACUUUCAAAGAGUCGGAUUGUUUGGGAAUGCAGUCCAAAAUGGGUGGUAAAUUUCAUCUAAAGCUAAAUAUUGGCGAGAGACCGAUAGCGAACAAGUACCGUGAGGGAAAGAUGAAAAGAACUUUGAAAAGAGAGUUAAACAGUACGUGAAAUUGUCAAAAGGGAAGCGUUUGACACCAGUGUUGUUUUCUCGAAAAUCAAUUAAAAAAGGCAGGAUUUUGUGUUGUAUUGACUUUAUCAGCUUUUCUGCACUCUUUUCUUGUCUUUUUUAAUGCACUUUUCGUUUAACAAGUCAACAUCAAUUUCUUUUGUUGUAAAAGGGUCAUUGGAAGGUGGCUUUCCUUUCGGAGAAAGUGUUUAUAGCCUUUGGCCUCUGCAAUCGGAGAGAUUGAGGUCUGCAGCGUAGAUCCUUCGGGGUUAGAUACAUUUGUGCUAAGUUAUAGCCUUUCAUAGACAACUUGUUGACUAUGAUCAGUCAUGUAGCUUACUCGCUUAUGCUAUUUUACCUACGCUUAGGAUGUUGACGAUCAGCUGAGCGCG
rnacentral:rRNA from 1 species